CCUACGGGAGGCAGCAGUGAGGAAUAUUGGGCAAUGGGCGCAAGCCUGACCCAGCAACGCCGCGUGAAGGAAGAAGGCUUUCGGGUUGUAAACUUCUUUUCUCAGGGACGAAGCAAGUGACGGUACCUGAGGAAUAAGCCACGGCUAACUACGUGCCAGCAGCCGCGGUAAUACGUAGGUGGCAAGCGUUAUCCGGAUUUACUGGGUGUAAAGGGCGUGUAGGCGGGAAAGCAAGUCAGAUGUGAAAACCAUGGGCUCAACCUGUGGCCUGCAUUUGAAACUGUUUUUCUUGAGUACUGGAGAGGCAGACGGAAUCCGUAGGGUAGCGGUGAAAUGCGUAGAUAUUAGGAGGAACACCGGUGGCGAAGGCGGUCUGCUGGACGGCAACUGACGCUGAGGCGCGAAAGCGUGGGGAGCAAACAGGAUUAGAUACCCUUGUAGUC
rnacentral:rRNA from 1 species